AUUAUUAUGAUUAUUAUUAUGAUAUUUAUAGAGCGCCGUCAAAUUCCGCAGCGCUUUACAAUGGGUGGACGAACAGACAUGUAGUUGUAACCAGAAAAGUUGGACACACAGGAACAGAGGGGUUGAGGGCCCUGCUCAAUGAGCUUACAUGCUAGAGGGAGUGGGGUAAAAUGACACAAAAAGGUAAGGAUAGUAUUAGACUAAUGACAGUUGCAGAAGAGGAAUCAGUCAGGAG